rnacentral:rRNA from 1 species
UACGGAGGGGGCUAGCGUUGUUCGGAAUUACUGGGCGUAAAGCGUACGUAGGCGGCUUUGUAAGUUAGAGGUGAAAGCCCGGGGCUCAACUCCGGAAUUGCCUUUAAGACUGCAUCGCUUGAAUCAUGGAGAGGUGAGUGGAAUUCCGAGUGUAGAGGUGAAAUUCGUAGAUAUUCGGAAGAACACCAGUGGCGAAGUCGACUCACUGGACAUGUAUUGACGCUGAGGUACGAAAGCGUGGGGAGCAAACAGG